rnacentral:rRNA from 1 species
AUGCACAUUAUAAUGUUCUUAGCAAGUAAUGUAAGCCUAUUUUUUUCUUUGGCAUACAUACAUUGGAGACGGAGUAUAUUAGUACCAAUCUUCAAGAACAAGUGGGAUGUUCAGAGUUGUACUAAUUACCGUGGAAUUAAGCUGAUGAGCCAUACAAUGAAGCUAUGGGAGAGAGUCAUUGAGCACCGCUUAAGAAAAAUGACAAGCGUGACCAAAAAUCAGUUUGGUUUCAUGCCUGGGAGGUCGACCAUGGAAGCCAUUUUCUUGGUACAACAACUUAUGGAGAGAUAUAGGGAGCAAAAGAAGGACUUGCAUAUGGUGUUCAUUGACUUGGAGAAGGCCUAUGAUAAGAUACCGCGGAAUGUCAUGUGGUGGGCCUUGGAGAAACACAAAGUCCCAGCAAAGUACAUUACCCUCAUCAAGGACAUGUACGAUAAUGUUGUGACAAGUGUUCGAACAAGUUGA